AACGAACGCUGGCGGCGCGCCUAAUACAUGCAAGUCGAGCGAGAAGACGUAGCAAUACGUUUGUAAAGCGGCGAACGGGUGAGGAAUACAUGGGGUAACCUACCCUCGAGUGGGGAAUAACUAGCCGAAAGGUUAGCUAAUACCGCGUACGCUCCUUGGACUUCGGUUCAGGGAGGAAAGCGAUACCGUGGGUAUCGCGCUCUUGGAUGGGCUCAUGUCCUAUCAGCUUGUUGGUGAGGAACGGCUCACCAAGGCUUCGACGGGUAGCUGGUCUGAGAGGACAAUCAGCCACACUGGCACUGCGACACGGGCCAGACUCCUACGGGAGGCAGCAGUAAGGAAUAUUGCGCAAUGGGCGAAAGCCUGACGCAGCGACGCCGCGUGGGGGA
rnacentral:rRNA from 1 species